rnacentral:rRNA from 1 species
GACGAACGCUGGCGGCGUGCUUAACACAUGCAAGUCGAACGGAAAGGCCCUGCUUUUGUGGGGUGCUCGAGUGGCGAACGGGUGAGUAACACGUGAGUAACCUGCCCUUGACUUUGGUAUAACUUCAGGAAACUGGGGCUAAUACCGGAUAGGAGCUCCUGCUGCAUGGUGGGGGUUGGAAAGUUUCGGCGGUUGGGGAUGGACUCGCGGCUUAUCAGCUUGUUGGUGGGGUAGUGGCUUACCAAGGCUUUGACGGGUAGCCGGCCUGAGAGGGUGACCGGCCACAUUGGGACUGAGAUCAGGCCCAGACUCCUACGGGAGGCAGCAGUGGGGAAUAUUGCACAAUGGGCGGAAGCCUGAUGCAGCAACGCCGCGUGCGGGAUGACGGCCUUCGGGUUGUAAACCGCUUUCGCCUGUGACGAAGCGUGAGUGACGGUAAUGGGUAAAGAAGCACCGGCUAACUACGUG